rnacentral:ncRNA from 1 species
GCCCCAUGCGAAAGAAAACACAGAAGAUCGGAACACUGAAGAACAGUCAGAACCAUAUGCGACACCUCAAACUCUACGAACAUCCGAAAAUCCAGAAAUCCACAGAAGGCGCAGACUGAACCGAACGACUACACGAAGGGAUUGCGCACGAAGAACAGACCACAAUUGGACGUCAGAACGCGGCACCACUCACCCCCAGAAGCAGGGCCCAUAACUGAUGUCCCACACCUUAUAACCCCCAACCACUUCUCUCCCCAGUGGUAUUGUUAAAACACGGUACCGGCCGUUAACCGGGCUGCAAUGCAGUACAUCAAGAAUUGAUUUAUGGUUGUAACAUUGUCUAGAAUCUGUAUCUAAUAAAGUCCCAUUGGUGCGCGUCAUAAAUUAGACUGACGGCAGCAGGCACUUUCCUUCGGGAGAGUCCUGCAAAUUCAGCAACUAGCCAAAUGCCUCGUCAUCUAAUUAGUGACGCGUAUGAAUGGAUCAACAAGAUUCCUUCUGUCCCUAUCUACUAUCUAGCGAAACCACAGCCAAG